ACGAGUUAGGGUCUACUUAGGCCCGACCUCCCAACCCUUUGUUUAUUGAACCUUUUGUGUUGCUUCGGCGGGCCCGUCCCUCCCGGGACCGCCGGCGGACCACCGUAGAGGUGUGUCUUCCGGCCCGCGCCCGCCGACAGCCCAACCCCAAAACUCUUGAAUGAAUCGUGUCUUGAAUUGUCUGAGUACAUUUUUUAAAUAAAGCAA
rnacentral:misc_RNA from 1 species